rnacentral:misc_RNA from 1 species
GAAGUCGUUACUCCAACCCUUGUGGAGGAGGACGCCGAAGGUGGGGCUAAUGACUGGGGUGAAGUCGUAACAAGGUAGCCGUACCGGAAGGUGCGGCUGGAUCACCUCCUAACAGGGAGACAACAAAAUGUAAAUAUUAAUUUUGUCACCUUAGGUCGAUCGGUAUCUCAGAUUCUUAUCAUUUAAGAAUUUCAGUUUCUAAGUUUUUUCUAGGUCACACCCAUCACUUUUUCCUGGGCCAUUAGCUCAGGUGGUUAGAGCGCACCCCUGAUAAGGGUGAGGUCCCUGGUUCAAGUCCAGGAUGGCCCAUAUCUCUAUGUUGGGGGUAUAGCUCAGUUGGUAGAGCGCCUGCUUUGCAAGCAGGAUGUCAGCGGUUCGAGUCCGCUUACCUCCACUGAAUACCACCUCUUACAUAUAGUUGAAGUGGGAAAUUGUUUUGAGUCGUGUCCUAAUUUGCUCUGAGCGAAUCUAGCUUCCUAUUUUAUCCAAGAAAUAAGAUGCUGGACUCAUUGAAUUUUUUUUCAUUGUUUUCAGAGAACCUUGACAACUGCAUAGAUUAUUUUUAAAGACAAUAAGCAUCUUUAAUGAUGCAGAUUUAGUAUUUGUGCGAAUGCAUUAAAUAACAAUUCUAUUAAGCUGAUGCUUCAAUUAUUGAAGUUAUUGGUCAAGCUACAAAGGGCUCACGGAGGAUACCUAGGCACACAGAGGCGAUGAA